ensembl:lncRNA
GGACGGGGGAGAGAGCUCAGAUUCUGACCCGACAAGCCCUUUCUCCAGCUGCUGUCAGCUGGAUGACGGAUUUGCCUGAGGCAGAGCGAUCAGACAGAGUGACUGGCCAAUUCAACAUGAGCGAGAUUGCCACAACCCAAAACAGAAGGGAAGAGAGUGUGAAUGAGUGUCCAUUGCACUGCGGGGUGAGUGGGAACAAAUCCCAACGUGGAGGUUGCAACCCCAGAAAUAAAGUGGGUGGAAGCAGAAAAAAGAGUCCGGUCAUGCUGUGCUGAGUUGUUCAGUCGUGUCUGACUCUUUGUGAUCCCAUGGACUGCAGCCCGCCACGCCUCUCUGUCCGUGGGACUCUCCGGGCAGGAAUACUGGAGUGGGUUGCCACACCCUCCUGCAGGGGAUCUUCCCAACCCAGGGAUCCAACCCAGGUCUCCCACAUUGAAGGCAGAUUCUUUACCGUCUGAGCCACCAGGGAAGGCCUUUCUUCUGGGGAUUCACACAGAAUGUUAGACUGAAAGUACUGACAAGAGAUAUUAGACACUUUUUUCCGUGUGUUUUGAACUUUUUUUGUGUUUUAGUUUGGAUUGCCCCAUCUUCAAGUACAGUGA